UCAUGGCUCAGAUUGAACGCUGGCGGAAUGCUUUACACAUGCAAGUCGAACGGGUAGAGGGGGCAACCCUUGAGAGUGGCGAACGGGUGAGUAAUAUAUCGGAACGUGCCCAGUCGUGGGGGAUAACGUAGCGAAAGUUACGCUAAUACCGCAUACGAUCUACGGAUGAAAGCGGGGGAUCGCAAGACCUCGCGCCAUUAGAUGAGCCUAGGUCGGAUUAGCUAGUUGGUGAGGUAAUGGCUCACCAAGGCGACGAUCCGUAACUGGUCUGAGAGGAUGAUCAGUCACACUGGAACUGAGACACGGUCCAGACUCCUACGGGAGGCAGCAGUGGGGAAUAUUGGACAAUGGGCGAAAGCCUGAUCCAGCCAUGCCGCGUGUGUGAAGAAGGUCUUCGGAUUGUAAAGCACUUUAAGUUGGGAGGAAGGGUAGUAACCUAAUACGUUGCUACUUUGACGUUACCGACAGAAUAAGCACCGGCUAACUUCGUG
rnacentral:rRNA from 1 species